rnacentral:tRNA from 1 species
GGUCGGUCUCGACGAAGGCGAAGGUGAAGGCGUCGAAGGCCUUGCUGGUGCCGAGCCAGAGGUAGCGGUUGCGGCCGCUGUCGAUCC